UCCCUGAUGGUCUAGUGGUCAGGAUUCGGCGCUCUCACCGCUGCAGCCCAGGUUCAAUUACCGUUCAGGGAA
rnacentral:tRNA from 1 species